GGGCGCGGCGUAGGGCGGGCGCUCGGCUGCGCUUGCGGAGGAGAGAGGAGGCCGCGACGGCCGCCCGCCGUGCGGCGUCGUUGUGCGCGUGCGCGGCUCGCGUGGGGCGCGGGGACGCUGCCCGUAAGGCCCCGCAGGAGGGACCUGGCGUUGAGGCGGGGGCGGCUCUGUGGGAGAAUGAAAAGAUAAUCAGAACCAGCCCCCCUGCUUUCCCAGGUUAUCUUAUCCAGAUGAAGACAGCAGUGACCAGACCUCCAAGGGAAAAAUUCAUUGAAACUCUGUUAUCAGAGAGUCUGAGAAUCAACGCAACCAAGAAGAUUGAUCUAUUGGAGAGGGGGGAGUUGAAACUAAGCAAAGGAGUAUCUAAAACUUAAGAGGAAUGUUUGAAUCAUGCAUAAGAAUGGAUGGAUAUGCAAGAAAUCGGUGCUUUUAAGGGACGAUCCUUUGUUAGUAAGGUGUGCUCUUGGUUGAAUGGUGAAGUACCCGGCCAUAUUUGUUAAUUUUGCUUUAUUUCUGUCUCCUAAUUGUCUUUUUAUUAAACUUUCAAAAUUAUACCGAAAA